AUUGAACGCUGGCGGCAGGCAUAACACAUGCAAGUCGAGCGAGCGGCGGACGGGUGAGUAAUGUAUGGGGACUGCCCGAUAGAGGGGGAUAACUACUGGAAACGGUGGCUAAUACCGCAUACUAUCGGAUAACCCAUAUGGGAUUAGCUAGUAGGGGGGGUAAAGGCUAACCUAGGCGACGAUCUCUAGCUGGUCUGCGAGGAUGAACAGCCACAGUGGGACUGAGACACGGCACAGACUCCUACGGAGGCAGCAUUGGGGAAUAUUGCACAAUGGGCGCAAGCCUGAUGCAGCCAUGCCGCGUGUAUGAAGAAGGCCUUAGGGUUGUAAAGUACUUUCAGCGGGGAUGCGUUACCCGCAGAAGAAGCACCGGCUAACUCCGUGCCAGCCGCCGCGGUAAUAC
rnacentral:rRNA from 1 species